rnacentral:rRNA from 1 species
GACGAACGCUGGCGGCGUGCUUAACACAUGCAAGUCGAACGGAAAGGCCCUGCUUUUGUGGGGUGCUCGAGUGGCGAACGGGUGAGUAACACGUGAGUAACCUGCCCUUGACUUUGGGAUAACUUCAGGAAACUGGGGCUAAUACCGGAUAGGAGCUCCUGCUGCAUGGGGGGGGUUGGAAAGUUUCGGCGGUUGGGGAUGGACUCGGGGCUUAUCAGCUUGUUGGUGGGGUAGUGGCUUACCAAGGCUUUGACGGGUGGCCGGCCUGAGAGGGUGACCGGCCACCUUGGGACUGCGAUACGGCCCAGACUCCUACGGGAGGCAGCAGUGGGGAAUAUUGCACAAUGGGCGGACGCCUGAUGCAGCAACGCCGCGUGCGGGAUGACGGCCUUCGGGUUGUAAACCGCUUUCGCCUGUGACGAAGCGUGAGUGACGGUAAUGGGUAAAGAAGCACCGGCUAACUACGUG